UACAGAGGGUGCGAGCGUUAAUCGGAAUUACUGGGCGUAAAGCGUGCGUAGGUGGUUUGUUAAGUCUGAUGUGAAAGCCCUGGGCUCAACCUGGGAAUUGCAUUGGAUACUGGCAGGCUAGAGUGCGGUAGAGGGGGAUGGAAUUCCGCGUGUAGCAGUGAAAUGCGUAGAUAUGUGGAGGAACACCGAUGGCGAAGGCAGCCCCCCUGGGCUAACACUGACGCUCAUGCACGAAAGCGUGGGGGAGCAAACAGG
rnacentral:rRNA from 1 species